rnacentral:rRNA from 1 species
GACGAACGCUGGCGGCGUGCUUAACACAUGCAAGUCGAACGAAGUGGCGAACGGGUGAGUAAUACGUGAGUAACCUGCCCUCCUUUUUGGGAUAAGCCUUGGAAACGGGGUCUAAUACCGAAUUAAGGGGGAUGGGCUCGUGGCCUAUCAGCUUGUUUGUGGGGUGAUGGCCUAACAAGGCGGUGACGGGUAGCCGGCCUGAGAGGGUGACAGGCGACAGUGGGACGGAGAGAAGGCCCAGAGGACUACGGGAGGCAGCAGUGGGGGGUAUUGCACAAAUGGCGAACGCCUGAUGCAGCGACGACGCGUGGGGGAUGAAGGCUGUAGGGUUGUAAUCCUCUGUCGCUAUGGAACGGGUAGGUGGAGAAGAAGCGCCGGCUAACUACGUGCCAGCAGCCGCGGUAAUUC